rnacentral:piRNA from 1 species
GAGCAGGUGACACCUUCUCCGACC